rnacentral:rRNA from 1 species
UUAGGCGAGCUUCUCCAGCUCCUGGGUGAAGACGGCGGCGUGCGGCUCCUCGACGCACUGGAGCACGAGCCGGAUGCCCUGCUUCGGCUUGGGCGGCUUGAGGUACACCACCGACGGCACAAUGUUGACGUCGUCGUUCAAUGUGAAGACGUAGGUGGGCUCGCCGAAGCCGUAGUCGACGUCGUUGAACCCGACGUGGCUCCAGUCGGUCACCACCAGCGUGCCGUAGUCCAGCGACACGUUGUAGUGGCUGUCCUUGGCGCCGCCGCCCAGCCAGUCCAGGAACCGCGCCGACAGCGCGUCCUUGGCCUCCCGGAUCGCCGUCACGAUCUCCACCAGCGACGCCUCGGUCACCUCCUUGCUGGCCCUGGCGAGGCCGCCGGGGUACACGCAGUUGCCGUAGUAGCCGUCCGGCGACGGCAGGGAGCCGCCGAGCAGGUGGCGCGUGCCGGCGGCGAAGCCCAGGCGCACCUCGGCGUCGGGCGCGGACCCGAUGGCCGCGGCCCGGCACUUGAAGAUGAUGGCGGUCACCACGUCGAAGGUGGAGCAUCGCUGGGCCGUCUCGGCGGCGACCUGGUCCUUGACGCGCUUGAUGCUGUCCAGCGAGAUCUCGACGGUGGACUUGACGAAGUUGAAGGCCGUGAAGGACGGCGGCGGGCCGAGCGGCGGCUUGGGCGGGUUGGGGAUGGCGUCGCGGGACCAGAUCGGCUUGACCGACGGCUCCGGGAGCCCCCGCGCCAUCUCGCCGACGGCCGUGAGGAACUGCGCCGCGCCCUGCCCGUCGAACACCAGGUGGCUGAAGCAAAUGCCGACGGCGUACCCGCCGCAGCUGAACUUGGUGAUCUGCGCGAGGAGGAUCUGGUCCUCGAGCUUGUGGUCGGCGGGAGGGCGGGGGAUGAGGUCGGCCUUGGGGAUGGCGAGCGGGCGGUCCUCGAGGCCGUUGACGUCGGCGAGCGAGCAGCUGGCGGCGGCCUCCACGAACCAGACGCCCUCGCCGGUGCAGUCGACGAGGGGCUCGCCCGGGGACGGCUCGGCGAUGCGGCCGGCCACCGGGUAGUAGGGGACGAGCGCCCUGGCGAAGCCCUGGCGCAUGGCGGCCACCUGGUCGUCGGCGGAGGAGGGUGCGGACUGGAAGACCUGGAUGAAGUCAACCAUGACGCGGACGGCGGCGGUCUUGUCGAUGGAGGAGAGCGGGAGCGUGCCUCCCGGGGUCGGCCCCGCCGGGGGCACGAGCGCCGGCGGCGACUUGGCGACGGUGGGCGCGGGCGCGGCCAU